UGCAUAGAUUGAAGUAUUUUCACAUUUAUAAUAGAAAUCUCUAUUUUAGGAGAAAAUGUAGAAAUAAAAAUAGAGGUGAAUUGGAAUAGCAAUGAGUUGCAGUGAAAUUGACUUCAAAUACCAUAGAAGCAAAAAUAGCAAUGGGUUGGAGAGAUCAAACAUAAAGAGAGACAAAUGUGCCAAUGGCCCAAUAUUGAUACAUCAUAUAUCUAUGUCAAUUAGGAUUGCGGAAAAGUGGAAAAGUAGGAUUUUGGUCCAUUUUCUAGUAAAUAGUCAAAUGAUGUAAUAGUAUAAAUCAUAUUUUUACCUGUUAAAAUUUUAUGUGGUUUCCUUAAUUAUAUUCACUAUGAAUAGAAUAUCUAAGUAAAAGGUAGUUUACCUAUCAAAUUGUUCAUAUUUUUUUAAAAUCAGACAUAAACACUUAAUAGAAGUAUAACUAGUCUAUAAACCAAAAAGAAACAAAAUUUUGGGUUACGGAACUCUCAAACUAUUUAUUAAUGGAGUUAGGUAAUUCAUCUAACUAGGAUUACUAAAUAAAAAAGGCAAAACAAUUUUUCAUUGCAAUAAAUUCCAUUUUUGUAUAUUCAUUUUUAUUACUAGUACAUAAAAUAUGUACUGUAUGAACUAAGGAAAUAACUAAACCAUUCGGAGUCCCACGAUG
rnacentral:lncRNA from 1 species